ensembl:lncRNA LINC01208 long intergenic non-protein coding RNA 1208
GCUCUUCUUAUUUUGAGAUAUGUCCCACCAAUACCUAGUUCAUGGAGAGUUUUUAACAUGAGGGGAUGUUGAAUUUUAUCAAAGGCCUUUUCUGUGCCUAUUGAGAUAAUCAUGUGGUUUUUGUCAUUAGUUCUGUUUAUGUGAUGGAUUACAUUUAUUGAUUUGUGUAUGUUGGACCAGCCCUGCAUCUCACAGAUGAAGCUGACUUGAUCAUGAUGACUGCCUUUUCACUUAACUGUGUCCUCAUAUGGAAGAGAGGAGAAAAGAGGAGAGGAGGGGAGAGCAAUACUAAACUGAUACACAAAGGAUCCCCGUACUUCAUCAAAAUAUCAAUGUUGUCCAUGACACACAAAGAACCCAGCUGUAGUUUAAUUCAGCAUCACAGUCCCAACAUGUUUUAAAACAUGUUCCAGCUUUUGGUCCCAGGAUUAUUCAACCUAGCUCAUAAAAGAAAACAAUAUUGCAUUUCUAAGUAUUGGCUCCUAGAAUUGGCAAGUUUAGUCAAGAAAAGCUGGAAUGCCGUUAAAACAACACCCUGUCAUCUUUCAAUCAGUCCUUAGCUGAAGUUAAAAUCCCACUCAUUCUGCAUGAUCCAGCCUCUGUAGCAUAGAGUGAGUAGCCCCUUAACAAGAACCAAAAUGGAGGGUACGGAUGAGGCUCAGAUCGUCACCACCUGGAGAAUAGAGACAGUGACUGAGUCACCAGGAAAUCUGUCCCCUGCUCAUCCCAGAAUCCCCGAGCUUUGACUUUUUAAGAGAACAUGUGACAGAUAAUGCCAUCUGAGAAGGAUUGCCUCCUUUACUGUAUGUUUUCCACUGAGAUGAAGAUUUUGGUCAUUUCCUCAUUCAUGUUCCUGCUUUUCAAAACCCAAGCAAGAAAGGAAACUUCUACAGUGACUUUCUCAUUAUGAAAUCUUAGCAUUCACUAGUCGGCCAUAAUGGAAAACCAGCCAAAUGGACACAUAUACACUGGUCUGUACCCGCAGAGAAAGAAAUGCAAAUCUCUGUGAUCAGAAAACUAUCCUAUCUUGUACAUUGUUAAAAGUCUGCCUCCAAAAAGUUUACUUCUGGAAUACUGUAAUUGAAUAGAAUCAGGGAUCCUACCUGUGUCCUUCAACUUUCACAUCUUGUCUACUCAAGUAAGGGUUGAAUUUGCAUGACUAUAUCUAAGGUUCGAGGGCUUACCUGUUGGCAGUAGACCCAGUAGUCUAUGAAUGGAAAUGGGCAAACCUGUGACCUCCCAAAACUUUAAUAUGAAAGUUUUGUUUGUGUAUACUCAUGGCAUUAUUCUUUUAAUAAAGAGAUAAUCUAUAUAGUUUUCUUUUUUAAAAG